GUGCCAGGCCCAUCGCGGUUAUACCAUGGGAGGGUUAGGAGUAUUAAAAUAACCCUAUAACGUAAUUACAAAAAUACCCUGCGUAUGAAUACAGAAGAAAGUUUCGGUAGAAUUAAUAAAUUAUUUUGGAUUUGACUAAGGGCGAGAGUAUAUUUCGUUUUGUAAAGCUCAAGAUAGAAACCAGGAUUAGAUACCCUGCUAUUCUCGAGAAGAGUUGCGGUUUGGGGAUAAGACAUUUAAAUUUAUCAAAAGUAAGUUACAACAAUCCAAAAAGCUUGGCGGCAAAAGUUUAUAAUUGGGGGAGCCUGUUCCCGUGACACGAAAUUACACGAAAAACUUGCAAGUGAUUAGUCUGUUCUUAUAUCUUCGUCUUAAGGAUAACUUUCAGAGAGAAAAUUUAUCCACCAUCGAAGCAUAUCGUGGAUUACAGAUCUAGAUGAGGCAUUCACUUUGUUAGGGGUGGGCUACGUUAAGCUGAUUUCUUUAGGACAAGAGACUUGAAAAGAUCUAUAAAAGAGGACUCAGAAGUAAGUUUAAAAAAUUAAAUAUAAUGAACUGAUUUUUAAGUAUUUCCUUUUGUGCACAAAUCGCCCGUCACUCCCUUUGUUAAAAGGGGAUAAGUCGUAACAUAGUAAGGGGUAACUA
rnacentral:rRNA from 1 species